rnacentral:rRNA from 1 species
GACGAACGCUGGCGGCGUGCUUAACACAUGCAAGUCGAACGAUGAACUUGGAGCUUGCUCUGGGGGAUUAGUGGCGAACGGGUGAGUAACACGUGAGUAACCUGCCCUGGACUCUGGGAUAACUUCGAGAAAUCGGAGCUAAUACCGGAUAGGACCUUGCACCGCAUGGUGUGGGGUGGAAAGUUUUUCGGUUUGGGAUGGACUCGCGGCCUAUCAGCUUGUUGGUGAGGUAAUGGCUCACCAAGGCGUCGACGGGUAGCCGGCCUGAGAGGGUGACCGGCCACACUGGGACUGAGACACGGCCCAGACUCCUACGGGAGGCAGCAGUGGGGAAUAUUGCACAAUGGGCGCAAGCCUGAUGCAGCAACGCCGCGUGCGGGAUGACGGCCUUCGGGUUGUAAACCGCUUUUAGUAAGGAAGAAGCCGCAAGGUGACGGUACUUGCAGAAAAAGGACCGGCUAACUACGUGCCAGCAGCCGCCGUAACAC